GUCCAAAUGAAUAUCCUAAUCCUGAAGAUGUAACCAGCAAUUUGGUAAAAAAAAAUUGUCGUAAUCUUUUAAGGUUGCGAAGGAGCAGUGGCCACAAGAAAAAGUGUUUGGGGAGAUAACUCUUACAACGUAAAAAAGUAUUUUGUUACGCGGUUGUAAAUUUUUAAAGCGUAUAAUCUAUACGAUAUCAUAUUCCAAAUAUCUAAGCGACAUCUUUUGAAACAUCAAUACUACGCAAGAAAAAAAAUUAGGCGA
rnacentral:lncRNA from 1 species